AACGGAUGAAUUUUGGCAAAAUAUGAUACGAGUCUUGAAAGGAAAGGAGUAUGUAUUUCCUGCAAUCAGUAGUUGGCGCAGGGCAGGGCAGGGCGGGCAAUUGGUGAGGAAUAGCAGGUUGGUAUAUUUCCCGCUGCUAUUCUCCUCUCCAAGGAAUAGUAGUUCCAAAGCAGUUGGACCUUAAACCUGCCAAAUAGUUUCACCUUAUCUCAAGCAGCAGGGACGGACAGGAAGCUCUAAUCCGGAUCCGGAUCCGGUUAGCAUGAAGUUAUUUUUUUGAAUAUAUAUACACAUACAAUAUCGCCUGCGUGUCAGUAUUCUAUUCGUCAAUUGACCAACUUACUCUAAAAUAAACUUCAUACUAACCACUUCCAUCCGUUCGAGCUGAUGAGCAGUGCGGCCCCCAACAAAAAUCCAUAAUAUCCCCAACCACCAUAAAAGCCCUUUCCAGUUUGGUCUUGGUGAAC
rnacentral:lncRNA from 1 species